rnacentral:rRNA from 1 species
CAAGCCACUCUUAGUACAUGUUCUAUUUCUGGAGUGGAAGAUGAAAAUAAGUUUCAUGCGCUAGUCAAGUGCCCUAAGGCAUAUGCGUUGCGUAUGGCAAUGAGGGAUAUAUGGGAUCUUCCUGGGGAGGAGGUUUUUAAGCAUUCGGGGUCUGAUUGGUUACUUAUUCUUUUGGACCAAUUGAAUGCUACUCUGCGUGACCAAAUUAUUUUCAUUUUCUGGAGAGCCUGGCACUUGAGGAAUGACUUGAUAUUUGGUACGGGGAAGGAACUUGUCUCGGCCUCUGCUAAUUUUGUGGAGAAUUAUUGGUCGUCAUUUGUCGCAAUUCAAUCAUGCCCAGAGGUGGACUUGAGAAAUAAAGGUAAAGGUCUGAUGUCUGGAUUAAAAAUUGUUCCUAAUCCUAUGGAAACUCAGGUGUUAUGGCAACCCCCUCCUUCGGAGUAUAUUAAGAUCAAUGUCGAUGCAAGCUUUGUGGAGAGCAUUAGCGCUGCAAGUGUGGGUGUGGUGGUCAGGGACUCUUCGGGGAAGGUCCUCGUCUCUUCCUGGGAUUACAUUGGGCUUUGUAAAAGUGUGGAGGAGGCAGAACUAUGA